CAAAAACAUGGCGUUUUGAUUAUAAUUUAAGGUCUGGCCUGCCCAAUGAGUAGUUAAAUGGCCGCGGUAUUUUGACCGUGCAAAGGUAGCAUAAUCAUUAGUUUUUUAAUUGAAAGCUGGAAUGAAUGGUCGGACGAGAAAAUAACUGUCUCAAUAUAAUUUUGUUAGAAUUUUAUUUUUAAGUUAAAAAGCUUAAAUGUAUUUAAAAGACGAGAAGACCCUAUAGAGUUUUAUAUAUGUAUAUUUAUUGGUUUUAUGGUAUUUUGAUGCUGACAUUUAGUAAUGUAUUUUGUUGGGGUGACAGAAAAAUUGGCUAAACUUUUUCUAAAAUUGAACAUUUAUUUAUGAUUGUUUGAUCCAUUAUUUAUGAUUAUAAGAUUAAAUUACCUUAGGGAUAACAGCGUAAUUUUUUUUGAGAGUUCUUAUCGAUAAAAGAGUUUGCGACCUCG
rnacentral:rRNA from 1 species